rnacentral:sRNA from 1 species
AGCUACUUCAAAGGCCGAUGUGAAUCACUGGAGCCCAGGAGGUGGAAGUUGCAGUGAGCCAUGAUGAUGUCACUGCACUCCAGCCUGGGUGACAGAGGGAGACCCUAUCUCAAAAAAAAAAAAAAAAAAUUGUUACGUUUAUAUUGUUGUUUACAAAAAUAUAUGGAAAAAGCCAGGCACGGUGGCUCACGCCUGUAAUCCUAGCACUUUGGGAGGCCGAGGCAGGUGUAUGACCUGAGGUCAAGAGUUUGAGAGCAGCCUGCCCAACAUGGCGAAACCUCGUCUCUACCAAAAAUACAAAAAAUUAGCCGGGCGCCUGUAAUCCCAGCUACUCGGGAGGGUGAGGCAGGAGAAUCGCGUGAACACGGGAGGCGGAGGUUGCAGUGAGCCGAGAUCGCUCCGCUCCACUGCACUCCAGCCUGGGCGACAGGAGCGAAACUCCGUCUCAAAAAAAAAAGGAAAAGCGUGGCCUGGGUGAGUGAAGGAGGGAAAGGAGGGCCUCAGACGUUGUGUCUGGGAUUCAGGAGAGAAGAUGACUGAGGAGGAGGUGGAGACCGUUCUGGCAGGACACGAGGACAGCAACGGCUGCAUCAACUACGAGGCCUUCUUGAAACACAUCCUAAGCGUCUGAGUGCUGCAGGUAGGGCCCUCCCACCCCUUCGCCGCGCCUUACGAGGCAAGUCUCCCGCCCUUCUCUCAGCCAGCAUAGAAAAGCAGCGGAGUUCAUUCUGCUGUCCGGUUGCUGCACGGGCUCCAGCGCUUCGCAACUUUGGUUUUUUUCCACAGAUCCAGUGGGGUCCGGACACUGGGCCCCGCAGGCGAAAGCACGUUCCAGCCACCAGGAGGCCACCUAUUGUUUCAAAAUAAAGACUGGGUUCCU